AGUUAACAAAUACAUCCACUUGUCCACCAAUCACAAGGGAUCCAUUGAGUGAGCCACUGCAACAAACAGGAACCCCUUCAAAGAGCUUCCAGUCUGGUGGGACCAACUACAUAAUCCUUGGUAAGAAAAGGAGGUGGCCCUGACAAGUGCAACUCGAGAAAUGCAAUGCUGUAGAGUCCAAAGGUGUCUGACUUGAACGAAAUGAUCCCACUGGGGGACAAUGCAACAUAUACUCCAGGUAAGCAUAGUGGAAAACAUAUUGGACUUAGAUUCAAACACACCUGAACCUGUAACUUAUGAGCCAGGUGACCUUGGGGGUAAGUAAAUUUAUUUCUCUAAUGGGGUUAAAUAAUGCCUACUCAAUGCUUUAAAAGAUUUUCAGUGUGGAAUAAGACUGCAAAUGCUUACAAUAAUAGCACUAAGACUAAUAACAGCUAACAGUUAAUUAUAUAAUGCUUACUAUAUGCUAGGCACUGGUAUUAAGGUCUUUACAUGAAGCACUCAAUAAAUAUUAGCUGCAGAGAAAUCUCACGGAAUUGACUAUAUAACCUGCCCUAACUGACGGGAACGUUACCUAUUCUUUCCAUCAAGGGAACUGAUUGCUUCCAGAAGCUUUUGAUGCUUUCUCUCUCCAUCAUUGUCCCCCUAAGACACAGAAAAGGAAAAACAAUCAGGAUGAGGGGGAGGGAAAAGACAACAUGGAAAUUGAGUCUCAUGUAAAAUCUCUUGUUAUUUAUUUAUUUAUUUUUGAGACGGCGUCUCGCUCUGUUGCCCAGGAUGGAGUGCAGUGGUGUUAUCUUGGCUCACUGCAAGCUCCGCCUCCCAGGUUCAUGCCAUUCUCCUGCCUCAGCCUCCCAAGUAGCUGGGACUACAGGCGCCUGCCACCACGCCUGGCUAAUUUUUUGUAUUUUUAGUAGAGACGGGGUUUCACUGUGUUAGCCAGGAUGGUCUCAAUCUCCUGACCUUGUGAUCUGCCCGCCUUGGCCUCCCAAAGUGCUGGGAUUACAGGCAUGAGCCAUCACCCGGGCCUGUUUUGGUUGGUCUUAUAAAUUAUACUUAUGCAACUUGAGGGUAGUGAUUGUAACUUAGUUUCCAAAUCCUCAUAGCACUUAAUAUGAUACAGUAUCUUAUAUAUGAAACACUAACCAUUUGCAAUUUAUUUGAGAGACCUGAACAAAUACAUAGAACAUUGUCACACCCUUCCAUUCCAGGAAUGUGCUCUCUACCCUAAUUUUGAAGGCAGUUUAGCAAUUGUCACCCACCUCAUCUUCACUCUCACUCAAGAGGUAGUCUUUUGGCAAAUCCGCUAGUUCUUCCUGUUGGCUCAAAGCCAGAAGGCUGUUAAAAGAGGCAACAGAGAAAUGUGAAUGCAAUAUACCCAUGUAACAAACCUGCA
rnacentral:lncRNA from 1 species